CAUCCACCCUUUUUUUCCUACCACAGCAGCAUAGUUCCAUUGUGCCUGAUGCUUCUCUGUCACUGAAGAUAUUUAUUCAGCCGUUUGCAUGAAAGUUGGUUUCCCUGCGUGGGUUUUGAGGUGUUCCAACAAAACUUCGGUACUGCCAAACUCCUGGGCGCAUACCCUACAGGAUGCAGUACUGUUGAAUGCAUCAAUGCUAAACAAUCUCACCCUGUACCUAUCUGGAACUGAAGAACAUUGUAACAUUGAUGUUCAAAUGCUGCCACCACGAUUACUUCUCCUGCCCUCUGCUUGGUUUCUUCACUAUCCACAGC